CUUGGGCGAGAGUAGUACUAG
rnacentral:siRNA from 1 species